AUUGAACGCUGGCGGAAUGCUUUACACAUGCAAGUCGAACGGUAGAGGGGGCAACCCCUCGAGAGUGGCGAACGGGUGAGUAAUAUAUCGGAACGUGCCCAGUCGUGGGGGAUAACGUAGCGAAAGUUACGCUAAUACCGCAUACGACCUAAGGAUGAAAGCGGGGGAUCGCAAGACCUCGCGCGAUUGGAGCGGCCGAUAUCAGAUUAGGUAGUUGGUGGGGUAAAGGCUCACCAAGCCAACGAUCUGUAGCUGGUCUGAGAGGACGACCAGCCACACUGGAACUGAGACAUGGUCCAGACUCCUACGGGAGGCAGCAGUGGGGAAUUUUGGACAAUGGACGCAAGUCUGAUCCAGCCAUUCCGCGUGCAGGAUGAAGGCCCUCGGGUUGUAAACUGCUUUUGUACGGAACGAAAAGGUCUCUCUUAAUACGGGGGACUCAUGACGGUACCGUAAGAAUAAGCACCGGCUAACUACGUGCCAGCCGCCGCCGUAA
rnacentral:rRNA from 1 species